CUAAUAAGCAGCUUCUAUCGCUAUCGUUCUCCGCCUUAUGUCAUGAUGGUCCGUUUACCUAUCUUCUUCUCUACCGUUUAUGUCUUUCUCAUCUUCACUACUAUGGGGUUUCACCAUCUCACCUUCAUAUGCAUUCAUUGCUAUUCCAAUAACUUCACUCCUCUAAUAUGUGCUUUUACUUAGGGUUCGUCGAUUCCAAUCUUCAUUGUAACGGCGAGGAUUCCAAAUGGUAAGAAUUGUUCUUCAAUUCCCUCUUAUUUAACUCUUAGCCCACUACUACACCUUCUUAUUCUCUUAAUUCAGUCAUUUGCAUAUAAUACAUCAUCUCACUAAUUAAAUUUCUCACUUCCCAAUCUGCCAAAAAAAUCCAUUGCGGCGAUCAUGGAUCCCCUUUCGUAUCUUUUGCGGAGCUUAAACCUAGCCGCCUUGAGCAACGGUUACUAGGUAGAUUGAUCAGUUUCAAGCCUGCACAUAACGUUAAAAAUCCGGCCGACUUCUGCCUUCGAGACUUCCAUCACGCUGUUAACAGCUUGCGUUUGUACCUGAGAUCGAUGAAUCGGGAACCAUGUCUUGCGGAGUUCUCUCUUUUCCUCAAUUUUCUAUAUGUUUCUUCAUAGUUAAUUUGAUGAUCGUUGAUCGUACUGAAUUGUUUAUUGAUCUUGCUAUCAAGUAUUCUGUGUGGUCGAGCUUUGUACUCAUGGGGAGGUAGAGACAUUAUGAGGAAAGUUGUUGUACUGAGUGAGUUCUUGCUUCCCUGAAGAUAUGGAUUCUGAAGCUACAAGCACACUUAUGGCUGCAGCAGAUAAAUGUGUGUUGGUUGACCUUCUUUUGUUUGAGAACCAGUCAAUCCAUCUAAGCCAGGAGAAGAACUCAGAUGCUUAUCGGAUCUUAACAAUUGUUCAAUUCAAAAAAGCAUUCCUAGUAGUAUCCAUAUUACUAGCUGCUUUUUAUGUUCUUUUUCAUACAAAGUAACUAAAUCUCUCAGAUUUUGAUGACUGGUUCUUGCUAUUUUAGUUAUUUGAUUCUAUUAUAAUUUAUCUAUAAAGAGGUAUUGAUUCUA